rnacentral:lncRNA from 1 species
AAGCUCCCGAGCACCUAUUUAAAUCACUGCUUAAAUCCAAAUAAAUAGUAGUACACUCUAUGCUCUUAUAAGUCAAUUUGAGUCUUUAUCCACUUCUAAUCAUCAAAGUUGUGAUGGGUGCACUACCAAUGAUAGUAGUGCUCCAAGUGAUGAUUGGAGCUACCAUGUGUUGGAUCAACAAUUUGAUGCUUAAUUGUCAUUUUUCUAAAAAUAUUUUUGAAAUAGAUUUAGGUUGCCAAUUAAAAGAAUUACACUUGAAUAGUGACAAAAUGACUUACAUUCUUGCAGAUCUAGACUGAAUCCAGGCGGCUCUAACCUAGAUCAUAAUAGAUCUAAGCUUGAUAUGAUCUUAGACACUUGCAACAAUCGUGGCAAAUUUCAUACUGAUCCCGCAUAGGUUCACUAUCUACGUCGAACUCUUAUGGCCUAGAUCCACAUAAAUCUAGACUAGAUCUGCAUGUAUCUAGGUUGGAUCCAUGCAAAUCUAGCUUCCUUUCAAAUAGAUUUACGCAAAAUAUGUAUGAUUCAAGUGAGGAAUUUUAGCCUUAAUCUAAGCAAAAAAUCUCUUAAACAAGGAAAUUGAUAAACCUGAUGAUAAGAUUCAAACUCGCCUUGAUUGGGAGAAAUACCAAGCUGGUUUUUAAGAAAUCCACCCAUAAAAAGAGAAAAAGCUCCAAAUCCAAGCUAUUUGAUAAAUUGGAUGCAAAAUGGAAGCAAUUUCAAGAAGGAUCCAAGUAAAAGAGAGGGAAGGUGCUGAUGUUUAAGAAAUUUAAAAAGGAAAAUAGUUCUCGUAAGGAAGAGUAGAAUAAGGUCAGAUUGGAUACUAGUACCAUAUAGCUUGAUACAGUAAAGGUACCAGGCAAUAUGUUUGGUGUGGUGAGUCUACCAUGUUGCAAACAUGAUAUGGAAUCAGACAAGUUGAUAUUGCUCAUCCCUGUGUAGAAAGGACAUGUAGAUGAUGUCAAGAGCAAGGUAUAUAGUUUCAAAUGAUAUCGCCCGUAAAACGACAAAGGUACAAGAGAAGAAAAGGAAGCAAUAUGCAUGGUACUAACGAAAACAAAAGAAAGGACAUGUAGAUGAUGUCAAGAGCAAGAUAUACAAUUUCGAAUGAUACCGCCCAAUACGGGCAGUACGUACCGAUCCGAUAGUAAAUCCAUACGUCGAGGCGACGUCACCUCGUUUUUUUGCGACGUCACCUCGGCGACAUUGCCUACC